rnacentral:rRNA from 1 species
UACGUAGGGUGCAAGCGUUGUCCGGAAUUAUUGGGCGUAAAGAGCUCGUAGGCGGUCUGUUGCGUCGGCUGUGAAAACCCGGGGCUCAACUCCGGGCCUGCAGCCGAUACGGGCAGACUAGAGUGCGGUAGGGGAGACUGGAAUUCCUGGUGUAGCGGUGAAAUGCGCAGAUAUCAGGAGGAACACCGGUGGCGUAGGCGGGUCUCUGGGCCGUAACUGACGCUGAGGAGCGAAAGCAUGGGGAGCGAACAGG